CUACUGAUUUUGGAAGUUCCUGUUGACAUAUCUUCAAGUUCCCUGAUUCUUUACCCAGCGAAGACCAGUCUACUGAUUAGUCCCUCAAAGACAUUUUUUAAAAAAUUUCUAUUACAGUGUUUUUGAGGGACGCCUGGGUGGCUCAGUGGGUUAAAUUCUCUGCUUUCGGCUCAGGUCAUGAUCCCUGACAAAUAAAUAAAUUUUUUUAAAAAAUAAAGUGUUUUUGAUUU
rnacentral:lncRNA from 1 species